CCUACGGGAGGCAGCAGUAGGGAAUAUUGCUCAAUGGGGGAAACCCUGAAGCAGCAACGCCGCGUGGAGGAUGAAGGUUUUCGGAUUGUAAACUCCUUUUGUUAGAGAAGAUAAUGACGGUAUCUAACGAAUAAGCACCGGCUAACUCCGUGCCAGCAGCCGCGGUAAUACGGAGGGUGCAAGCGUUACUCGGAAUCACUGGGCGUAAAGAGAUAGUAGGCGGGAUAGCAAGUCAGAUGUGAAAUCCUAUGGCUUAACCAUAGAACUGCAUUUGAAACUGUUAUUCUAGAGUAUGGGAGAGGUAGGUGGAAUGCUUGGUGUAGGGGUAAAAUCCGUAGAGAUCAAGAGGAAUACUCAUUGCGAAGGCGACCUGCUAGAACAUAACUGACGCUGAUGCGCGAAAGCGUGGGGAGCAAACAGGAUUAGAUACCCCUGUAGUC
rnacentral:rRNA from 1 species